ACGGGUAUUCUUGGGUGGAU
rnacentral:miRNA from 20 species